rnacentral:rRNA from 1 species
UACGUAGGUGGCAAGCGUUAGUCCGGAUUUACUGGGCGUAAAGGAUGCGUAGGCGGACAUUUAAGUCAGAUGUGAAAUACCCCGAGCUUAACUUGGGUGUGCAUUUGAAACUGGGUGUCUAGAGUGCAGGAGAGGUAAGUGGAAUUCCUAGUGUAGCGGUGAAAAUGCGUAGAGAUUAGGAAGAACACCAGUGGCGAAGGCGACUUACUGGACGUGUAACUGACGCUGAGGCAUGAAAGCGUGGGGAGCAAACAGGA